rnacentral:tRNA from 1 species
UAGUUAAGGCGAUGGACUGCUAAUCCAUUGCUCUUUGAGCGCGAGAGUUCGAAUCUCUCCGCU